rnacentral:rRNA from 1 species
AGCAGCCGCGGUAAUUCCAGCUCCAAUAGCGUAUAUUAAAGUUGUUGCAGUUAAAAAGCUCGUAGUUGAAUUUUGGGCCUGGCUGGGUGGUCUUGCCGCAAGGUAAGCACUGCUCUGGUCGGGUCUUUCCUUCUGGGGAGCCAGCGUGCUCUUAACUGAGUGCGUUGGGGAUCCAGGACUUUUACUUUGAAAAAAUUAGAGUGUUUAAAGCAGGCUUACGCUUGAAUACAUUAGCAUGGAAUAAUAGAAUAGGACUUUGGUUCUAUUUUGUUGGUUUCUAGGACCGAAGUAAUGAUUAAUAGGGAUAGUUGGGGGCAUUAGUAUUUAAUUGUCAGAGGUGAAAUUCUUGGAUUUAUGAAAGACUAACUUCUGCGAAAGCAUUUGCCAAGGAUGUUUUCAUUAAUCAAGAACGAAAGUUAGGGGAUCGAAGACGAUCAGAUACCGUCGUAGUCUUAACCAUAAACUAUGCCGACUAGGGAUCGGACGAUGUUAAUUUUUUAAUGACUCG